GCCGGCCUAGCUCAAUUGGUAGAGCAACUGACUUGUAAUCAGUAGGUUGGGGGUUCAAGUCCUCUGGCCGGCA
rfam:Bacillus sp. NRRL B-41092 Bacillus-sp-B-41092_contig_22, whole genome shotgun sequence.